rnacentral:lncRNA from 13 species
CAAGCCUAUAAUCCCAGCACUUUGGGAGGCCGAGGCAGGUGGAUCACGAGGUCAAGAGAUCGAGACCAUCCUGGUCAACAUGGUGAAACCCCGUCUCUACUAAAAAUGCAAACAAAAUUAGCUGGGCAUGGUGGCAUGUGCCUGUAAUCCCAGCUACUCAGGAGGCUGAGGCAGGAGAAUUGCCUGAAUCCAGGAGGCGGAGGUUGUGGUGAGCCGAGGUUGCACCAUUGCACUCCAGCCUGGAUAACAAGAGCGAAACUCCAUCUCAGAAAAAAAAAAAAUAGGUAAAGUGUUUAGAAUAGUGCCUAUUACUGAGUAGGUGCCAUAGAAAGAUUUACAAUCAUUAUUUUUAUUGUUAGGUAUCUAUAUAUUUAUAUGUGUAUUACAGUUUUCUAAAAGUACUUCUUUUCCUCUCCACAAUGAUUACAUCUCUUCUUUCUAACUCCAGGGUUACAAGCUGGAAAAGGGGAGAAAUGAAUCAUGCUACGAUUCCCAGAGAUGCCCUUUGUGAGCCCAAGAAGCUUUUGAGACAAACUCAGAAUUUUCAAAACAUCAUCAAAUAAAAAAGGCAACCCACACAUCUGUGGCGCGUAUUAACAAUAGCAUCCACCUGGGGUGGAUAUUGGACCAUGCUUGGAAGUAGUGCUGGUGACACCCACAGCAGGAAGUUGAAAGCAGCUUCUAUCCCAUCACUCCAGUUUCUUCUUCAACAGCCCAGAACACUCAGCUCUUGGUUCAUUGAGGCUGAGACAGAUGAAUUUUUAUCUGCACUCACUAUGCUUAAGAUUUACGAGAACACAAGCACGACUAGACAAACUCUCCUGUGAAAUUCACCUGAAUGUGAUAAAGAACUCUGCCGCUCAGUGGUAGGGCUCAAAAAAACAGUACCACACAAUGGAGGCCUCAGAAGCAAACAUCUUUCUGUGACUUUCUCCUACCCUUCUGCCUCUGACCCCUCAUUCUUCCCUGAGUCUACCCAUAGAAACUAGAAUCUCUCUUCCCCAAGGCAGGACAUGGAAACCAGAACUCUUUUUCCCCAAAGCCAGCCAUCAAGGCUAAAAAUAGUAUUAUAACUUCCCUCUACCUUUCUGUGUAAAAACUGGCCAUGAAGAAAUUAUCUAACCCAUAUUGUUUGAUUAUUGGUCAUAAAACCCUAAUUCCAGAGGACCCUACCCCAUACCGAGAAGGAGGAACUACUGUGCAGAGAGUCUAAGAAGAAUCUAGACAGACAGCCCUCACUGGAUUUCUCCACUUCGCCUAUUAGCAUUCAAUCAUAUGCCUUUUGUCCAGUCAUAUUUCUACAGGGCUGUCCAUACUUUGUUGAACCUUAGCACAAAAUGGAAAGUUUCCCCUGUGUCUUUGGGUCUUCAUUCUGAAGGAUCCCAUGUUAUAUAAAACAAUGAUCAAAUAAAUACGCACGCCUUUCCUCCUAU